GUCGUAACAAGGUCUCCGUUGGUGAACCAGCGGAGGGAUCAUUACCGAGUUUACAACUCCCAAACCCCUGUGAACAUACCUAUCGUUGCUUCGGCGGGAUCGCCCCGGCGCCCUCGGGCCCGGACCCAGGCGCCCGCCGGAGGACCUAAACUCUUGUCUUUUUUAGUAUUCUUCUGAGUAAACAAGCAAAUAAAUCAAAACUUUCAACAACGGAUCUCUUGGUUCUGGCAUCGAUGAAGAACGCAGCGAAAUGCGAUAAGUAAUGUGAAUUGCAGAAUUCCGUGAAUCAUCGAAUCUUUGAACGCACAUUGCGCCCGCUAGUAUUCUGGCGGGCAUGCCUGUUCGAGCGUCAUUUCAACCCUCAAGCCCCCGGGCUUGGUGUUGGGGAACGGCCCGCCCCUAGCGGCAGGCCGGCCCCGAAAUCUAGUGGCGGUCUCGCGAUAGCCUCCUCUGCGUAGUAGCAAUAUCUCGCACUGGAACUGAGCGACGACCACGCCGUUAAACCCCCCACUUUCUGAAGGUUGACCUCGGAUCAGGUAGGAAUACCCGCUGAACUUAAGCAUAUCAAUA
rnacentral:rRNA from 1 species